AAAGUCGUAACAAGGUUUCCGUAGGUGAACCUGCGGAAGGAUCAUUAUUGAAUCCUCAGGAUGUUGCUGGCCUUUCGGGGCAUGUGCACUCCGCCUUUUCAAUUCACCUGUGAACUUAUUGUAGGCUGGGUAGGGAAACCUAUCUGUGUCUAUGUUUUUACACACACCCUUUUAAAAGUCUAUUAGAAUGUCUAAUGAAUAGGCCUUUACUGGUCGAAAUAUUUUAAUACAACUUUCAACAAUGGAUCUCUUGGUUCUC
rnacentral:misc_RNA from 1 species